rnacentral:rRNA from 1 species
GACGAACGCUGGCGGCGUGCUUAACACAUGCAAGUCGAACGGAAAGGCGCUGCUUUUGUGGGGUGCUCGAGUGGCGAGCGGGUGAGUAACACGUGCGUAACCUGCCCUUGACUUUGGGAUAACUUCAGGAUACUGGGGCUAAUACCGGAUAGGAGCUCCUGCUGCAUGGUGGGGGUUGGAAAGUUGCGGCGGUUGGGGAUGGACUCGGGGCUUAUCAGCUUGUUGGUGGGGUAGUGGUUGACCAAGGCUUUGACGGGUAGCCGGCCCGAGAGGGUGAACAGGCCCCUUGGGACUACGGUACGGCCCAGACCGCUACGGGAGGCAGCAGUGGGGAAUAUUGCACAAUGGGCGGAAGCCUGAUGCAGCAACGCCGCGUGCGGGAUGAGGGCCUUCAGGUUGUAAACCGCUUUCGCCUGUGACGAAGCGUGAGUGACGGUAAUGGAUAAAGAAGCACCGGCUAACUACGUG